AUUGAACUCGGAUCCUUUGCACUGAGCUAUAUUCCCACUCCAUUUUUCUUUUUCUUUUCUUUUCUUUUACUUUAUUUUCUUGGUUUUUUUUGUUUGGUACCAGAGAUUGAAAUCGGGACCUUGCCGCUUGCAAAGCUGGCGGCAGAACCACUGAGCAAAAUUCGUGGCCCCAGUUUUCAUAUUUUUAUUUUUAGACAGGGCUCGCUAAGUCAUCCAGGCUGGGCUCAGACUAUGAACCUCAUGCUUCAGCCUCCCAGAAUGCUGGAAUUGCAGCAUUUCUCAGGAAGGCAAAUCCAGCCACACUUCACCUGUCCAGAGAAAGAAUGCCAGUUAGCAUUCAGGACUUUAACAUCUAUUAUCCACCACGGUCUGACAGCUCAGCUCUGGGUAAACAAAUGCUUCUCCCAGGAGGAGCUCAUCUCUCCCAAUAUUUCAGAUCCUCUUUUGUUGCCAGUUUAGAGAGUCCAGGUGGUUGAGCACUGAAGUGUUCCAUCUCAUUUCCUUUUGCGGCUGCUGUAGGUGAUGUGGAAGUCCAGUUUUGAG
rnacentral:lncRNA from 1 species